UCCCUGGUAGCUCAGAUGGUAAAGCUUCUGCCUACAAUGCAGGAGACCCAGGUUCAAUCCCUGGAUUGGGAA
rnacentral:tRNA from 1 species